rnacentral:misc_RNA from 1 species
UCAAACUUGGUCAUUUAGAGGAAGUAAAAGUCGUAACAAGGUAACCGUAGGUGAACCUGCGGUUGGAUCAUUACAAAGAUCUUUGAAUAAGGUGUUGGAGGCUAUUGCAGGUUCUACCAGCAUCGCCCAACCCUUAUUUCAACAACCCACAUCUUGUGCACUGUAAAACCGUCCUUGGUGGUUGGGUAGUAAGGAGCUGCGUGCACACUGCUACCCCGCGCUUGAAGGUUUUUAAACCUCAACGCAGGCCACCGCCGGUUGGGGGCAUUUGCUCCUUUCCGGCAUGUUAAACAAACUUUUGCAUUACAUUCAUCAAUUCUUUAUGUUUUUUUUAAACAACCUUUUGAAGAACAUAAACAACUUUUGGCAACGGAUCUCUUGGUUCUCGCAUCGAUGAAGAACGCAGC